AACGAACGCUGGCGGCAUGCCUAACACAUGCCAGUCGAACGAAGGCUUCGGCCUUAGUGGCGCAUGGGUGCGUAACGCGUGGGAAUCUGCCCUUUGGUUCGGAAUAACAGCUGGAAACGGCUGCUAAUACCGGAUGAUGACGAAAGUCCAAAGAUUUAUCGCCAGAGGAUGAGCCCGCGUUGGAUUAGGUAGUUGGUGGGGUAAAGGCCUACCAAGCCGACGAUCCAUAGCUGGUCUGAGAGGAUGAUCAGCCACACUGGGACUGAGACGCGGCCCGGACUCCUACGGGAGGGAGCAGUGGGGAAUAUUGGACAAUGGGCGCAAGCCUGACCCAGCAAUGGCGCGUGAGUGAUGAAGGCCCUAGGGUAGUAAAGCUCUUUUACCCGGGAAGAUAAUGACUGUACCGGGAGAAUAAGCCCCGGCUAACUCCGUG
rnacentral:rRNA from 1 species